rnacentral:lncRNA from 1 species
AGGGGAGGUGUUGCUGAACUUUUUUCCUCAUUUUCGUGCGGAUUUCACUCAUCCAAAGUGUUGUGAAGGUUAGCUACUUCAUGUUCCGUUCAUUUAUUGUUGUUAAGCUUUGUUUUACACUUUAGAGAGGGAGAAAAAUGAGUUUGUUUGUUGUUAAGCAUGUAGAGGAUUUGUAUUUAUACAUAUUUUUGAGCUACAAUGUGACGGAUAGUUUGAAUGUGAGGGAGAAUGGACAGUAAAUGUGAGGUAGAAUUGAGAUUAUUUUAAUUUUAUGUAUUAGGGAAAAAUUAGAGUAAAUGUGUUUUUAAUAUUUAUAAAUUAGCCAUAUAAAUUGUAGGUGUAAUUUCAUACUUUAGUACUUUUCAGAUAGAGGUAUGGAAUUAACAAUUUUUAGAAUAAGUAAAUUAUGUGGGAAAUAUUGAAUUUUUUAAUAGUUUAGUUAUUUGUAAAUUAAAUAUGAGCUACAUAAUUUGUGUAUUUCUAUGUAAACUUUCAGCAAUAUUUGAAUUUGUCGUAGUGUAUCAUGUUGUGUGCUUCUAAAAUUUUAAUUUGUAUAUUUCUAUCUAAAAUUUAAGCAAUAUGAUGGAUAGUUUUAGUGUAAUCCAUUUUAUUGAUGGCUUGCGUAAUACGGUGCAGAUGGAUCGGCAAUGGAUGUAUAACGCGGCAGGCGGAGCAAGGUGUUUAUUGCUGGCAUGAAUAAUUUUCUUGAAGUGGCCAAAGCGAACAAGCUAAAGAACGGGUUCAUAUCUUAUCCAUGCGCC